GAGAGGUUGGCGCGGGCAGGCGCCUCGCCAACCCGGUCAGGUCCGGAAGGAAGCAGCCGCAACGAGCCCCGCCUGGGUCGUGUUCCAGCCUCUCACC
rnacentral:SRP_RNA from 1 species